CGCCAUUUUGCUUGUACAUUUUUCAUGUGUUUUGUAUUGUUAAAUUAGACUUCAAAUAGAUGUUUAAAAACCCUGUUUUUACCUUCCAUAAAACCUCUAAGGAUGGAAAUGAUCAGUGUCUGGUUCAGGCAGUUUGGAACAGAAGUAGGACACGCUGUAGGAUGAUCAGAGAGGAAGACUGGCAGGGCUCAGGAGUGGUUUUUCCUGUACCGACGGAAAUAAGAGGACUGACCUUACGUGCUGAAAUGACUGCUUAGAGUUUCAACAGUAAAUAAAAGGCUGUGUUUACGCUCCUCGAUUCGAUAAGUCACUUUUGCCCGAGUUUCAGUGGCAAGCAGCACACUCUCAGCCAUGAUCUAUUGUGGAGUCUUUUUCAUCUUCACCUCAACA